UUAAUGGUGACUUUGUCGGGAUGAACUUUUAUUCUAAGGAAGAGACUCCGUUCCUACCAAGGAAUAAAAUUCUUGAACUUCUGAUGCAUUUUAGGAGAACACCCCCGUGCUGGGACACAAGUAAGAAAAGAGGUAGUAAAACUGAAAGAGGCGCAAGCAAGGCAC